GAUGAACGCUGGCGGCGUGCCUAAUACAUGCAAGUCGAGCGAACAGACGAGGAGCUUGCUCCUUUGACGUUAGCGGCGGACGGGUGAGUAAAACGUCGGUAACCUACCUAUAAGACUGGGAUAACUUCGGGAAACCGGAGCUAAUACCGGAUAAUAUUUUGAACCGCAUGGUUCGAUAGUGAAAGACGGCUUUGCUUUCACUUAUAGAUGGAGCCGCGCCGUAUUAGCUAGUUGGUAAGGUAACGGCUUACCAAGGCAACGAUACGUAGCCGACCUGAGAGGGUGAUCGGCCACACUGGAACUGAGACACGGUCCAGACUCCUACGGGAGGCAGCAGUAGGGAAUCUUCCGCAAUGGGCGAAAGCCUGACGGAGCAACGCCGCGUGAGUGAUGAAGGUCUUCGGAUCGUAAAACUCUGUUAUUAGGGAAGAACAAAGGUGUAAGUAACUAUGCACGUCUUGACGGUACCUAAUCAGAAAGCCACGGCUAACUACGUG
rnacentral:rRNA from 1 species